rnacentral:rRNA from 1 species
AGGAGCUCAAAUUUGAAAUCUGGGGUCCCCCGGCCCCCGAGUUGUGAUUUGGAGAGGCAUCUUCGGGGGGGAGCGCCGGCCCAUGUUCCUUGGAACAGGACGUCGCAGAGGGUGAGAAUCCCGUGCCAGGCCGGCUGCCUCCUCCCUAGUGAAGGGCCUUCGACGAGUCGAGUUGUUUGGGAAUGCAGCUCCAAGUGGGUGGUAAAUUUCAUCUAAAGCUAAAUACCGGCGGGAGACCGAUAGCGCACAAGUAGAGUGAUCGAAAGAUGAAAAGCACUUUGAAAAUAGAGUCAAAAAGUACGUGAAAUUGUUGAAAGGGAAGCGCUUGAGACCAGACUCAGACCCGAGCAAACACCGCGCCCCUCGGGGCCGUGCAAUUGCCUGGGGCUGGGCCAGCAUCAGUUGGCGUGGCGGGACAAAGGCGCGGGGAAUGUGGCUCCCCUCGGGGAGUGUUAUCAGGCCCGCGCUCAAUGCCGCCGCCGCCGACUGAGGACCGCGCCUC